CAGUCGCCACGGUAAUACGAAGGGGGCUAGCGUUGCUCGGAAUGACUGGGCGUAAAGGGCGCGUAGGCGGUUUGUACAGUCAGAUGUGAAAUUCCUGGGCUUAACCUGGGGGCUGCAUUUGAUACGUGCGGGCUAGAGUGUGAAAGAGGGUCGUGGAAUUCCCAGUGUAGAGGUGAAAUUCGUAGAUAUUGGGAAGAACACCGGUGGCGAAGGCGGCGACCUGGUUCAUGACUGACGCUGAGGCGCGAAAGCGUGGGGAGCAAACAGGAUUAGAUACCCGCGUAGUCCCUGUCUCUUAUAC
rnacentral:rRNA from 1 species